rnacentral:rRNA from 1 species
AGAGUUUGAUCAUGGCUCAGAUUGAACGCUGGCGGCAGGCCUAACACAUGCAAGUCGAACGGUAACAGGAAGCAGCUUGCUGCUUCGCUGACGAGUGGCGGACGGGUGAGUAAUGUCUGGGAAACUGCCUGAUGGAGGGGGAUAACUACUGGAAACGGUAGCUAAUACCGCAUAAUGUCGCAGGACCAAAGAGGGGGACCUUCGGGCCUCUUGCCAUCAGAUGUGCCCAGAUGGGAUUAGCUUGUUGGUGAGGUAACGGCUCACCAAGGCGACGAUCCCUAGCUGGUCUGAGAGGAUGACCAGCCACACUGGAACUGAGACACGGUCCAGACUCCUACGGGAGGCAGCAGUGGGGAAUAUUGCACAAUGGGCGCAAGCCUGAUGCAGCCAUGCCGCGUGUAUGAAGAAGGCCUUCGGGUUGUAAAGUACUUUCAGCGGGGGAGGAAGGUGUUGUGGUUAAUAACCACAGCAAUUGACGUUACCCGCAGAAGAAGCACCGGCUAACUCCGUGCCAGCAGCCGCGGUAAUACGGAGGGUGCAAGCGUUAAUCGGAAUUACUGGGCGUAAAGCGCACGCAGGCGGUCUGUCAAGUCGGAUGUGAAAUCCCCGGGCUCAACCUGGGAACUGCAUUCGAAACUGGCAGGCUUGAGUCUUGUAGAGGGGGGUAGAAUUCCAGGUGUAGCGGUGAAAUGCGUAGAGAUCUGGAGGAAUACCGGUGGCGAAGGCGGCCCCCUGGACAAAGACUGACGCUCAGGUGCGAAAGCGUGGGGAGCAAACAGGAUUAGAUACCCUGGUAGUCCACGCCGUAAACGAUGUCUACUUGGAGGUUGUGCCCUUGAGGCGUGGCUUCCGGAGCUAACGCGUUAAGUAGACCGCCUGGGGAGUACGGCCGCAAGGUUAAAACUCAAAUGAAUUGACGGGGGCCCGCACAAGCGGUGGAGCAUGUGGUUUAAUUCGAUGCAACGCGAAGAACCUUACCUGGUCUUGACAUCCACAGAACUUUCCAGAGAUGGAUUGGUGCCUUCGGGAACUGUGAGACAGGUGCUGCAUGGCUGUCGUCAGCUCGUGUUGUGAAAUGUUGGGUUAAGUCCCGCAACGAGCGCAACCCUUAUCCUUUGUUGCCAGCGGUCCGGCCGGGAACUCAAAGGAGACUGCCAGUGAUAAACUGGAGGAAGGUGGGGAUGACGUCAAGUCAUCAUGGCCCUUACGACCAGGGCUACACACGUGCUACAAUGGCGCAUACAAAGAGAAGCGACCUCGCGAGAGCAAGCGGACCUCAUAAAGUGCGUCGUAGUCCGGACUGGAGUCUGCAACUCGACUCCAUGAAGUCGGAAUCGCUAGUAAUCGUGGAUCAGAAUGCCACGGUGAAUACGUUCCCGGGCCUUGUACACACCGCCCGUCACACCAUGGGAGUGGGUUGCAAAAGAAGUAGGUAGCUUAACCUUCGGGAGGGCGCUUACCACUUUGUGAUUCAUGACUGGGGUGAAGUCGUAACAAGGUAACCGUAGGGGAACCUGCGGUUGGAUCACCU